rnacentral:rRNA from 1 species
GAUGAACGCUGGCGGCGUGCUUGACACAUGCAAGUCGAACGAAGCAUUUGCGACAGAUUUUUUCGGAAUGAAGUUGCUUAUGACUGAGUGGCGGACGGGUGAGUAACGCGUGGGUAACCUGCCUUGUACUGGGGGAUAGCAGCUGGAAACGGCUGGUAAUACCGCAUAAGCGCACAAUGUUGCAUGACAUGGUGUGAAAAACUCCGGUGGUAUAAGAUGGACCCGCGUCUGAUUAGCUAGUUGGUGAGAUAACAGCCCACCAAGGCGACGAUCAGUAGCCGACCUGAGAGGGUGACCGGCCACAUUGGGACUGAGACACGGCCCAGACUCCUACGGGAGGCAGCAGUGGGGAAUAUUGCACAAUGGAGGAAACUCUGAUGCAGCGACGCCGCGUGAGUGAAGAAGUAAUUCGUUAUGUAAAGCUCUAUCAGCAGGGAAGAUAGUGACGGUACCUGACUAAGAAGCUCCGGCUAAAUACGUG